GAGCAGUUCUCCUCUCCGAUCUUCGUGAUAGCCUCUCUCUUUCUUCUUCUCCUUUUGCGUCUCGAACGUCGAACGAUGAACGGAAAAUGGCGGCCAAGCUCCACAGAUUUGAGUUCUCCAUCAUCCAAAACCCCAGUCAUCGACUCGUCGUCUCUCCACCUCGGUCGUCUUCUCUCUGACUCAUCUUCAAUCCACCUUUCUCCUCGACGAUCGAGAUCCCAGGAAACCAAGGGUUCUCGGCGUCCGUGGUCCCAGUUCGUGAUCGACGGCGUUUGAAGCUCAUCCGUGGUUCCAGUUCGUGGUCACCGACAUUGAAGCUCUAUGGAUCUCGGAGUAAAUCUAAAAAAAAAAAAUUAGGCUUUUUUAGUUUAAUUUUUUCUGGAUAUUGUAGUUAGUAGAUAUAGUUGCUGGGCCUUUAAAUCCAAACUCAUCUGAAGAUUUUUUCCAUGCCCAAAUUCUCAAAUUUUUUUAUUAACCCUCUCAAUUUCAUAGUCAUACAUAUAAAUAUAUAUAUUGACAAUUUUUCUUAGAAAUGCUAUUUAUGAUUAUGAACAGGUGAUAGUGGUAAUAAUUAAUCUGAAGAGCAAAGUAUGGUUACAAUAGUGGUUGUGAUUGUGAUAUGUCUAUUUGUUUUGGCCUUCGGAUGGAAACAGGGAGCAACUAAGUUGGACCAUACCAAACGAGAUUUUCUAAUUAGAGACUCGAUCAUCCCAACAAGCUUAUGAUACAUAUGUAGUUUAAUCAUGGUUAGAAAAAAUGAUUACUUACAAGUACCACAUUUUUUGUGUCCUCUCUCUUCUUAUUACUCCUACCUCUCACAAUACUUCAACCUUCCUAUUUCUUCAUCUUUAUUCGUGAUCGCAUCCCCAGUACUUACUUCUCCAUCGUUUUGAUCCUCCAACAAACUAUCACGAUAAAUAUCUCUCUGGUUUUCUUUUUUUCUUUUUUGUAGACUGAAUUCAUUCCAUUUUAUAUAGCCGUAUUUCGAUAUUAUGUGAAUUGUGAUAGUGUUUUAGUUGGUGUAUAUACUGUUGGAUAUAAUCUGUGUGAUUCGUGAAAGAAUUGGUUAUAUUAAGGACCAGUGAUCACGAUUUUGAAGCAACUUUUCUGUAGUUUAAUACCUCUUGAUCAGAUUCAUUGUUCAAGUUACCUUAAGAGUUUUCUAUUUCAAUUUUCUUUGUCUAUCGUUUGUUGCUGUAAAUGAGUUCAAUGCUUUUCUU